rnacentral:rRNA from 1 species
GGCCUUUUGUUAAUAAUUUAAGGUCUAGCCUGCCCUAUGAAAUUUUAAAUGGCCGCGGUAUUUUGACCGUGCAAAGGUAGCAUAAUAAUUAGUUUCUUAAUUAGAAGCUGGAAUGAAUGGUUGAAUGAAAAAAUUACUGUCUCUUUCUUAAUAUAUAAAAUUUUAUUUUUGAGUUAAAAAGCUUAAAUGUUAUUAAAAGACGAGAAGACCCUAUAGAGUUUUAUAUUUAAAUUUGUUUGUGGUUGUUAGAAUUUUAAAGAUUAAUUAAUUUAUUUAUUUGGUUGGGGCGAUUAAAAAAUUAAUAAAACUUUUUUUUUUUGUUACAUUGAUUUAUGAAUAGUUGAUCCAUUAUUAAUGAUUAAAAGAAAAAAUUACCUUAGGGAUAACAGCGUAAUUUUUCUGGAGAGUUCAUAUUGAAAGGAGAGUUUGCGACCUCGAUGUUGGAUUAAAAUAAAAUUCUGGUGCAAAGGCUAAAAGGUUAGGUCUGUUCAACCUUUAAAAUUU